rnacentral:rRNA from 1 species
CCUACGGGUGGCUGCAGUAGGGAAUUUUGCGCAAUGGGCGAAAGCCUGACGCAGCAACGCCGCGUGAUCGAGACGCCCUUCGGGGUGUAAAGACCUGUCAGUCGGGGCGAAACUUGACGGUACCCACAGAGGAAGCACCGGCUAACUCCGUGCCAGCAGCCGCGGUAAUACGGGGGGUGCAAGCGUUGUCCGGAAUCAUUGGGCGUAAAGAGUUCGUAGGCGGCACGUAAAGUCUGGUGUUAAAGGCAGAGGCUCAACUUCGGUACGGCACUGGAUACUUGCGAGCUAGAAUGCGGUAGAGGUAAAGGGAAUUCCUGGUGUAGCGGUGAAAUGCGUAGAUAUAUGGAAGAACACCAGUGGCGAAAGCGGCUCUCUGGGCUGUAACUGACGCUGAGGUUCGAAAGCGUGGGUAGCAAACAGGAUUAGAUACCCUUGUAGUC